rnacentral:rRNA from 1 species
UACGGAGGGUGCGAGCGUUGUCCGGAAUCACUGGGCGUAAAGGGCGCGUAGGCGGCCUGAUAAGUAGGGGGUGAAAUCCUGCGGCUUAACCGCAGGGCUGCCUUCUAAACUGUCAGGCUGGAGCACAGUAGAGGCAGGUGGAAUUCCCGGUGUAGCGGUGAAAUGCGUAGAUAUCUGGAGGAACACCGGUGGCGAAGGCGGCAUCCUGGACCGACACUGACGCUGAGGAGCGAAAGCCAGGGGAGCAAACGGG